rnacentral:rRNA from 1 species
GACGAACGCGGCGGCGUGCCUAAUACAUGCAAGUAGAACGCUGAAGGAGGAGCUUGCUUCUCUGGAUGAGUUGCGAACGGGUGAGUAACGCGUAGGUAACCUGCCUGGUAGCGGGGGAUAACUAUUGGAAACGAUAGCUAAUACCGCAUAAGAGUAGAUGUUGCAUGACAUUUACUUAAAAGGUGCAAUUGCAUUACUACCAGAUGGACCUGCGUUGUAUUAGCUAGUUGGUGGGGUAACGGCUCACCAAGGCGACGAUACAUAGCCGACCUGAGAGGGUGAUCGGCCACACUGGGACUGAGACACGGCCCAGACUCCUACGGGAGGCAGCAGUAGGGAAUCUUCGGCAAUGGACGGAAGUCUGACCGAGCAACGCCGCGUGAGUGAAGAAGGUUUUCGGAUCGUAAAGCUCUGUUGUAAGAGAAGAACGAGUGUGAGAGUGGAAAGUUCACACUGUGACGGUAUCUUACCAGAAAGGGACGGCUAACUACGUGCCAGCAGCCGCGGUAAUACGUAGGUCCCGAGCGUUGUCCGGAUUUAUUGGGCGUAAAGCGAGCGCAGGCGGUUAGAUAAGUCUGAAGUUAAAGGCUGUGGCUUAACCAUAGUACGCUUUGGAAACUGUUUAACUUGAGUGCAAGAGGGGAGAGUGGAAUUCCAUGUGUAGCGGUGAAAUGCGUAGAUAUAUGGAGGAACACCGGUGGCGAAAGCGGCUCUCUGGCUUGUAACUGACGCUGAGGCUCGAAAGCGUGGGGAGCAAACAGG